rnacentral:lncRNA from 1 species
CUUUGUGUUUGCCUGCAGAUUCCAGUGUAGUCCAAUGCACGAGCACGCUUAUUAUUGUUCACAUUGUUCGGCUGUGCAAGUGAAAGGCAAUAAUGAUGAUAUAUGAUGAAAUGACUGAGCCUGGAAAAGCUGGUAUGAACUCGAUCUAUUUUGCUUUUGUAAAUAUGACUAGCUCAUCAUGCCUGAUUCAGCUUUGUUGUGAGAGAAACAUGUUUGCAAUAACAACUUAGAGAUCAUAGUUGCUUAUGCCAUGCUUACUUAGCUAGGAGCUUAUAAUGGUCUGUCUUGGUUGCCCACAUGAAUGUUGAGAUGACUAUGAUGUAGUAUGAUAGGAUGGUAUCCUCCUUUGAAUGUUCCAAGUGGCUUGACUUGGCGCAUGUUCACGCAUGUAGUUGAAACAAAAUCAACAUAGCCUCUAUGAUGUUCAUGUUCAUGGUGAUUUAUGUCCUACUCAUGCUUGCACUCAAUGUUAGUUAAUCUCAAAGCAUUUUGAUGACUGUUGUCGCUCUCUAGUUGGUCGCUUCCCAGUCUUUUGCUAGCCUUCACUUGUACUAAGAG